GACGAACGCUGGCGGCGUGCUUAACACAUGCAAGUCGAACGGAAAGGCCCUGCUUUUGUGGGGUGCUCGAGUGGCGAACGGGUGAGUAACACGUGAGUAACCUGCCCUUGACUUUGGGAUAACUUCAGGAAACUGGGGCUAAUACCGGAUAGGAGCUCCUGCUGCAUGGUGGGGGUUGGAAAGUUUCGGCGGUUGGGGAUGGACUCGCGGCUUAUCAGCUUGUUGGUGGGGUAGUGGCUUACCAAGGCUUUGACGGGUAGCCGGCCUGAGAGGGUGACAGGACACAUUGGGACGGAGAUACGGCCCAGACUACACCGGGAGGGAGCGGUGGGGAAUAUUACACUAUGGGCGGAAGCCUGAUGCAGCAACGCCGCGUGCGGGAUGACGGCCUUCGGGUUGUAAACCGCUUUCGCCUGUGACGAAGCGUGAGUGACGGUAAUGGGUAAAGAAGCACCGGCUAACUACGUG
rnacentral:rRNA from 1 species